rnacentral:sRNA from 1 species
GGUUCAAUUGCAGUAGAUCAGCUAAUUAAUUAAUCACAGCCAGGUGCAGAUUUCUUUGUUCUUUCUCCACUCUCACUGCUAGAAAAUGGCCUUUC